CUUUAGUCAUUUUGAAACUAUAAAUGAUUAGAGAAUUUGAGUAAACAAUUGUGAAAAACAGUGAAGGUUUCUCUUCCCACAUGAUUGUAACAGGGUGGAACUGUUUGUCGGUAAACAUGCCCCAUGUUAACCCUUGCCAGUCCCAGGUAUAGCAUGUUUCAAUAAAGGGAAUGGCCCUGGGUAUUUAAGCUUGACUUUUUGUGUCAUUCACAAUAUUCCAUGACCACUAGAAGGCUGACGUGUGCAGGGAGGAUGGUCUAGUAGUGAAAGUCCAGUCAGUGUCUCUAUUAGACACCAUAAGAAUCCUGACUGGACUCUGACUGGACUCUGAUUGGACAUGAGCUGAACCAAAGGAUCCAACACAAAAGUGUCAUUUGUUUCCUGGAUGAUGUCAUAUGGAGGAAGCUUCCACACCUUUUCAGGAGCCCCUGUAAUCAUUUAUGAUUUAAAAAGAUACGGCCAUGAAGCAAACUCCGACAUGAAACUGACGUGCAGUUGCCUGGUUAUGAGCACCGGAGGACCAAGAGCCAAUAAUCUGCACUUCCUUCAGUUUGACCACACACAGAAAAAAUGAUGCAUCCAUGUAAUCAACAGUUCAUCAAUUAUAAAUUAAUUGACAUAUUCAAGAGUUGUAAAUUG